GUGCCAAGUCUCAAGUCCAGUUGGUGGAGUCUGGAGGGGAUGUGAGAAGACCUGGAGAGUCCCUCAGUCUCUCCUGCCAAGCCUCUGGGUUCACCUUCAGCAGCUCUUACAUGUAUUGGGUGAGACAGGCACCAGGCAAAGGACUGGAAUGGGUAGCCUACAUAGGUACAGGCUCAAAUCCUUCCACUUAUUACUCAGACAAAGUCAAGGGCCGCUUCACCAUCUCCAGGGAUGAUGCCAAAAGCCAGCUGUAUCUGCAGAUGAACAGCCUCAAACUAGAGGACACGGCAAUCUAUUACUGUGCGGGAGACACAGUGAGAGGAAGUAAAUCUGAAGCUAAACAAAAACCUUCAGAGCAGCUCUUCAACUUGAUUUAUCCCCAGAUCCUGGAUUGGCUAAUUUAG